rnacentral:lncRNA from 1 species
CUGUUCUCUUAUCCUUGAGACAAUCAAUAAACUUUUUCAUUUUUUUCUGAAGUUUUUUUUUCCUGUAAGGCAAAAAGGCUCCUCAUCCCUUAUCUCUUUAUACUCCAACAGUGAUAAGGUCCUAUACAAUGUGGAUCUUUGACUCAACGAAAAAAUUGGAAAAAAGUUAAGCUUCAUUUAAGGGGAAUAAUGAAAUUUAAUAGCUUUCUUGGAAUUCCCAUCACAAGAGCCAAGAGGGCUUCCUUGGCAAAGGCAAAUAGACUGGUAAAACUAUUGUGAGAAACUAAUAUAUUUGUUAUGUUUUCUCAUUUACUCCUUGCACAGAUUUGGAAUGAGAUUUAACAGAUCCCUGAUCUAACUGAAGAAAGCUGAGCUCUGGGCCAUAUGGAUCCUUUAAAAGAGACAGAUGCAUGAAGUUUGGAGCAGUGAAAUCUCAGUCCAGGCAUUGAAUGGCAUUGGAAAAGAACAGUGCUGUAGAAGUCAGAAGAUUGUCUCUACCAGUAAAUGCUGAGU